AUCUAAUUGACGAGUCCUAAAUGGGACGAAACGCGCGUUCUGGAU
rnacentral:hammerhead_ribozyme from 1 species